rnacentral:rRNA from 1 species
GACGAACGCUGGCGGCGUGCCUAAUACAUGCAAGUAGAACGCACAGUUUAUACCGUAGCUUGCUACACCAUAGACUGUGAGUUGCGAACGGGUGAGUAACGCGUAGGUAACCUGCCUGGUAGCGGGGGAUAACUAUUGGAAACGAUAGCUAAUACCGCAUAUUAUUAAUUAUUGCAUGAUAAUUAAUUGAAAGGUGCAAUUGCACCACUACCAGAUGGACCUGCGUUGUAUUAGCUAGUAGGUGAGGUAACGGCUCACCUAGGCGACGAUACAUAGCCGACCUGAGAGGGUGAUCGGCCACACUGGGACUGAGACACGGCCCAGACUCCUACGGGAGGCAGCAGUAGGGAAUCUUCGGCAAUAGACGAAAGUCUGACCGAGCAACGCCGCGUGAGUGAAGAAGGUUUUCGGAUCGUAAAGCUCUGUUGUAAGAGAAGAACGGGUGUGAGAGUGGAAAGUUCACACUGUGACGGUAUCUUACCAGAAAGGGACGGCUAACUACGUG